rnacentral:rRNA from 1 species
UACGUAGGGUGCAAGCGUUGUCCGGAAUUAUUGGGCGUAAAGAGCUCGUAGGCGGUUUGUCGCGUCUGCUGUGAAAACUCGGGGCUUAACUCCGGGCCUGCAGUGGGUACGGGCAGACUAGAGUGCGGUAGGGGAGACUGGAAUUCCUGGUGUAGCGGUGAAAUGCGCAGAUAUCGGGAGGAACACCGGUGGCGAAGGCGGCGACCUGGGUCGAGACUGACGCUGAGGUGCGAAAGCGUGGGGAGCAAACAGG